rnacentral:rRNA from 1 species
AGCUUGGAGAGUUUGAUCCUGGCUCAGGAUGAACGCUAGCGGCGUGCCUUAUGCAUGCAAGUCGAACGGUCUUAAGCAAUUAAGAUAGUGGCAAACGGGUGAGUAACGCGUAAGUAACCUACCUCUAAGUGGGGGAUAGCUUCGGGAAACUGAAGGUAAUACCGCAUGUGAUGGGCUGACAUAAGUCGGUUCAUUAAAGCCGCAAGGUGCUUGGUGAGGGGCUUGCGUCCGAUUAGCUAGUUGGUGGGGUAAUGGCCUACCAAGGCUUCGAUCGGUAGCUGGUCUGAGAGGAUGAUCAGCCACACUGGGACUGAGACACGGCCCAGACUCCUACGGGAGGCAGCAGCAAGGAAUCUUGGGCAAUGGGCGAAAGCCUGACCCAGCAACGCCGCGUGAGGGAUGAAGGCUUUCGGGUUGUAAACCUCUUUUCACAGGGAAGAAUAAUGACGGUACCUGUGGAAUAAGCUUCGGCUAACUACGUGCCAGCAGCCGCGGUAAUACGUAGGAAGCAAGCGUUAUCCGGAUUUAUUGGGCGUAAAGUGAGCGUAGGUGGUCUUUCAAGUUGGAUGUGAAAUUUCCCGGCUUAACCGGGACGUGUCAUUCAAUACUGUUGGACUAGAGUACAGCAGGAGAAAACGGAAUUCCCGGUGUAGUGGUAAAAUGCGUAGAUAUCGGGAGGAACACCAGAGGCGAAGGCGGUUUUCUAGGUUGUCACUGACACUGAGGCUCGAAAGCGUGGGGAGCGAACAGAAUUAGAUACUCUGGUAGUCCACGCCUUAAACUAUGGACACUAGGUAUAGGGAGUAUCGACCCUCUCUGUGCCGAAGCUAACGCUUUAAGUGUCCCGCCUGGGGAGUACGGUCGCAAGGCUAAAACUCAAAGGAAUUGACGGGGGCCCGCACAAGCAGCGGAGCGUGUGGUUUAAUUCGAUGCUACACGAAGAACCUUACCA